GACGAACGCUGGCGGCGUGCCUAAUACAUGCAAGUCGAGCGAAGUUUUUCUGGUGCUUGCACCGGAAAAACUUAGCGGCGAACGGGUGAGUAACACGUAAAGAACCUGCCUCAUAGACUGGGACAACUAUUGGAAACGAUAGCUAAUACCGGAUAAUAGCAUUAACUGCAUGGUUGAUGUUUAAAAGUUGGUUUUGCUAACACUAUGAGAUGGCUUUGCGGUGCAUUAGCUAGUUGGUGGGGUAGGCCUACCAAGGCGACGAUGCAUAGCCGACCUGAGAGGGUGAUCGGCCACACUGGGACUGAGACACGGCCCAGACUCCAACGGGAGGCAGCAGUAGGGAAUCUUCCGCAAUGGGCGAAAGCCUGACGGAGCAACGCCGCGUGAGUGAAGAAGGAUUUCGGUUCGUAAAGCUCUGUUGUUAGGGAAGAAUGAUUGUGUAGUAACUAUACACAGUAGAGACGGUACCUAACCAGAAAGCCACGGCUAACUACGUG
rnacentral:rRNA from 1 species